GGACUACCGGGGUAUCUAAUCCUUUUUGCUCCCCACGCUUUCGUGUCUCAGGGUCAGGAAGGUCCCAGUGCACUGCCUUCGCCUUUGGUGUUCCCCACGAUAUCAACGGAUUUCACCCCUACACCGUGAGUUCCAUGCACCUCUAACCUCCUCUAGUCAUUGCCGUAUCUCCUCCAGGUCCACCGUUAGGCGGUGGGAUUUAAGAGAAGACGCGCAAAACCCCCUACACACGCUUUACGCCCAAUAAAUCCGGAUAACGCUUGAGGUCUACGUAUUACCGCGGCUGCUGGCAC
rnacentral:rRNA from 1 species